CCCUUAGAUGUUCUGGGCCGCACGCGUGCUACACUGAGUGGAUCAGCGGGUCAGGUUGCGCGAAAGCGUUUCCUAAUCUUUAAAUCCGCUCGUGAUGGGGAUUGACGGUUGCAAUUUUCUGUCAUGAACGAGGAAUACCUUGUAAGCGCGGGUCAUCAUCCCGCGCUGAAUACGUCCCUGCCCUUUGUACACACCGCCCGUCGCUCCUACCGAUUGAACGGCUUAGUGAGACCCUCGGACCGAUAGGCUGUCGCCGCGGCAACGUGGCGACCGGCCCGUCGGGAAGAAGGUCAAACUUGACUGUCUAGAGGAAGUAAAAGUCGUAACA
rnacentral:rRNA from 1 species